UACAGAGGUCCCAAGCGUUGUUCGGAUUCACUGGGCGUACAGGGUGUGUAGGCGGUUUGGUAAGCCUUCUGUUAAAGCUUCGGGCCCAACCCGGAAAGCGCAGAGGGUACUGCCAGGCUAGAGGGCGGGAGAGGAGCGCGGAAUUCCCGGUGUAGCGGUGAAAUGCGUAGAGAUGUGGAGGAAUACCGAUGGCGAAGGCAGCCCCCUGGGAUAACACUGACGCUCAUGCACGAAAGCGUGGGGAGCAAACAGG
rnacentral:rRNA from 1 species